GUACGAGAGGACAGGGAUGAACACACCUCUGGUGGACCUGUUGUGGCGCCAGCCGCAUUGCAGGGUAGCUAUGUGUGGAAUAGAUAACCGCUGAAAGCAUCUAAGCGGGAAACUAACCUCAAAACCAGGUUUCCCUUGAGAGCCGUCCAAGACCAGGACGUCGAUAGGCCGGAUGUGGAAGCGCCGCGAGGUGUGAAGCUAACCGGUACUAAUUGCUCGAUAGGUUUGAUCUC
rnacentral:rRNA from 1 species